CUUACUUUUUUGCCUUUUGGCUAAGAUCAAGUAUACUACUUAUUCUUAAUCAGUUUUUGAUCUAUCCUCUAUCUGAGGACAAUAUAGUGAAUGAUUUAUGGAGCAGGGUGAUGAAAUUGGAACUUGCUUUGUCCACUCCACAUACUGACUUGCCAUUAUAGUACCCUCUGUGCACCAAACAAACA
ensembl:snRNA U2 U2 spliceosomal RNA